rnacentral:rRNA from 1 species
CCCUUAGAUGUUCUGGGCCGCACGCGCGCUACACUGAUGCAUUCAACGAGUCUAAAACCUGGUCUGAUAGGGCUGGGUAAUCUUUUGAAAGUGCAUCGUGAUUGGGAUAGAUGAUUGCAAUUCUUCAUCUUCAACGAGGAAUGCCUAGUAAACGCAAGUCAUCAGCUUGCAUUGAUUACGUCCCUGCCCUUUGUACACACCGCCCGUCGCUCCUACCGAUUGAAUGAUCCGAUGAAUACCAUGGAUUGAGAGUACGAAUGGGUUCGCUCAUCUCUGCUGCUCGAGAAGUGGAGUAAAUCUUAUCAUUUAGAGGAAGGAGAAGUCGUAACA